GAAAGGCCAGUUGCUGUGCUAUUGGUAGUAUCUGUUUCUUAUCCCGAGUAGCAUGGGACACGUGAAACCCCGUGUGAAUCAGCGAGGACCACCUCGUAAGGCUAAAUACUCCUGGGUGACCGAUAGUGAAGAAGUACCGUGAGGGAAAGGUGAAAGAGAACCCCUGAAGGGGAGUGAAAUAGCGCAUGAAACCGUAAUCUGACAAGCAGUGGGAGGGGUAUUAGCCCUGACCGCGUGCCUGUGGAAGAAUGAGCCGGCGACUUAUAGGGGGUGGCAGGGUUAAGGAGUUUCUUCGAAGCCAAAGCGAAAGCAAGUCUUAACAGGGCGAUAAUAGGUCACUCCUUAUGGACCCGAACCCGGGUGAUCUAACCAUGGCCAGGAUGAAGCUUGGGUAACACCAAGUGGAAGUCCGAACUCAUCGAUGUUGAAAAAUCGUGGGAUGAGCUGUGGUUAGGGGUGAAAUGCCAAUCGAACUCGGAGCUAGCUGGUUCUCCCCGAAAUGCGUUGAGGCGCAGCGGUUGACGAGGCCAUGAGCUGUCUAGGGGUAAAGCACUGUAUCGGUGCGGGCUGCGAGAGCGGUACCAAAUCGUAGCAAACUAAGAAUACUAGGCAUGUCUUUCCGUCAACCAGUGAGACAGUGGGGGAUAAGCUCCAUUGUCAAGAGGGAAACAGCCCAGAUCACCAGCUAAGGCCCCUGAAUGAUCGCUAAGUGGAAAAGGAGGUGAGAAUGCCGAAACAGCCAGAAGGUUUGCUUAGAAGCAGCCAUCCUUUAAAGAGUGCGUAAUAGCUCACUGGUGGAGCGUUCUUGCGCCGAAAAUUUACGGGACUAAGCGAUCUGCCGAAGCUGUGGGAUAUCGGCACAAAGAGCUGGUAUCGGUAGGGGAGCGUUCCGCCUUAGGGUGAAGCAUUGGUGUAAACCGGUGUGGACGAAGCGGAAGUGAGAAUGUCGGCUUGAGUAACGCAAACAUUGGUGAGAAUCCAAUGCCCCGAAAACCUAAGGGUUCCUUCACUAGGUUCGUCCAUGGAGGGUUAGUCGGGUCCUAAGGCUAGGCCGAAAGGCGUCGUCGAUGGGAAACAGGUUAACAUUCCUGUACUUCUUCUUGGUUGGCACCGAGGGACGAAGGAGGCACGAGGUGACCAAAAUUGGAUUUUGGUGGAAAUGGCUGAGGCGAGGAGAGAUAGAAGAGAAACUAUUCUUGAGCUGAACCAUGAUACGGCCCCAUUAUUAGCUGCAACUUUUCUCUGUCAAACUUCCUAGAAAAGCUCGAACUGCUGCAACACCAAGAAGGACCCGUACCCGAAACCGACACAGGUAGGUGGGUAGAGAAUACCUAGGGGCGCGAGACAACUCUCUCUAAGGAACUCGGCAAAAUGGCCCCGUAACUUCGGGAGAAGGGGUGCCCCCGCAAGGGGGCCGCAGUGACCAGGCCCAGGCGACUGUUUACCAAAAACACAGGUCUCCGCUACGUCGCAAGACAAGAUAUGGGGGCUGACGCCUGCCCGGUGCCGGAAGGUGAAGGAAGUUGGUUAUUCUUCGGAAGAAGCUGGCGACCGAAGCCCCGGUGAACGGCGGCCGUAACUAUGACGGUCCUAAGGUAGCGAAAUUCCUUGUCAGGUAAGUUCCGACCCGCACGAAAGGCGUAACGAUCUGGGCACUGUCUCAGAGAGAGACUCGGUGAAAUAGACAUGUCCGUGAAGAUGCGGACUUCCUACACCUGGACAGAAAGACCCUAUGAAGCUUUACUGUAACCUGGAAUUGGGUUUGGGCCCCUUUUGCGCAGCCUAGGUGGGAGGCUAUGAGAGCUCUCUUCCGGGAGAGCUGGAGCCAUCAGUGAGAGACCACUCUGGAGGGGCUAGAAUUCUAAUGGUGCUCCUUGAAACAGGACACUUGACAGUUUCAGGUGGGCAGUUUGACUGGGGCGGUCACCUCCUAAAAGGUAACGGAGGUGUGCAAAGGUUCCCUCAGGCUGGACGGAAAUCAGCCGUAGAGUGUAAAGGCAUAAGGGAGCUUGACUGCAAGACCUACAAGUCGAGCAGGGGCGAAAGCCGGCCUUAGUGAUCCGACGGUGCCGAGUGGAAGGGCCGUCGCUCAACGGAUAAAAGUUACUCUAGGGAUAACAGGCUAAUGACUCCCAAGAGCUCAUAUCGACGGAGUCGUUUGGCACCUCGAUGUCGACUCAUCGCAUCCUGGGGCUGAAGAAGGUCCCAAGGGUUCGGCUGUUCGCCGAUGAAAGCGGUACGUGAGUUGGGUUUAGUGCGCCGUGAGACAGUUCGGUCCAUAUCCGGUGUAGGCGCUAGAGCAUUGCGAGAAGCCUUCCAUAGUACGAGAGGACCUGGAAGGACACACCUCUGGUAUACCAGUUCUCCUGCCAAGGGGACACGCUGGGUAGCUAUGUGUGGAGCGGAUAACUGCUGAAAGCAUCUAAGUAGGAAGCCCAUCUCAAGAUGAGUGCUCUC
rnacentral:rRNA from 1 species